rnacentral:rRNA from 1 species
CCCUUAGACGUUCUGGGCCGCACGCGCGCUACACUGAGUGUCUGAGAUACGAGUCUGCCUGGUCCGGCAAGGUCUAGGUAAUCGCUAAAAGACACAUCAUGCUUGGGAUAGAUUAUUGCAAAUAUUAAUCUUGAACGAGGAAUUCCUAGUAAGCGCAAGUCAACAGCUUGCGUUGAUUACGUCCCUGCCCUUUGUACACACCGCCCGUCGCUACUACUGAUUGGAUGUUUAAGCGAGGUUCUCGAACUGCUAGCGACUUAGCUUCGGUGAGGUCGCAGUGUGGGAAGUGAACCUAGCUUUGGUGUCUAGAGGAAGUAAAAGUCGUAACA